AUGGAGAGGGAGAGAGAGAGAGGUCUAAAUGAUUGUCUCAGUACCAGUUUCAUGUUUCCAUGUAUGCCGUUAUACUGGAUAGAAAACAGUAAUUUCGUGUGGGUUGUUUAUACUAAAUACUUAUAUAGCAAUAACAUAAUAAUCUACAUGUAUCAAUUGUUGACACCCAGUUCUUCUUCACAAAGGACCAAUCCUCUUACUUUAUCCAUUCAUGUUGUCCUAAUUUUGUUCCUUCAUAGAAAAACAUUUUCUCAUUUCAAUCUUUCUCCAUUUGGUAUGAGUAUGACACAUGCUCUGAUUUUUUUUACUAUUCUUGGUUGA
rnacentral:rRNA from 1 species